UAGGGAAUCUUCGGCAAUGGGGGGAACCCUGACCGAGCAACGCCGCGUGAGUGAAGAAGGUUUUCGGAUCGUAAAGCUCUGUUGUUAAGGAAGAACGAGUGUGAGAAUGGAAAGUUCAUGCUGUGACGGUACUUAACCAGAAAGGGACGGCUAACUACGUGCCAGCAGCCGCGGUAAUACGUAGGUCCCGAGCGUUGUCCGGAUUUAUUGGGCGUAAAGCGAGCGCAGGCGGUUAGAAAAGUCUGAAGUGAAAGGCAGUGGCUCAACCAUUGUAGGCGUUGGUAACUGUUUAACUUGAGUGCAGAAGGGGAGAGUGGAAUUCCAUGUGUAGCGGUGAAAUGCGUAGAUAUAUGGAGGAACACCGGUGGCGAAAGCGGCUCUCUGGUCUGUAACUGACGCUGAGGCUCGAAAGCGUGGGGAGCGAACAGG
rnacentral:rRNA from 1 species